AUUGAACGCUGGCGGCAUGCCUUACACAUGCAAGUCGAACGGCAGCGCGGGAGCAAUCCUGGCGGCGAGUGGCGAACGGGUGAGUAAUAUAUCGGAACGUGCCCAGUAGUGGGGGAUAGCCCGGCGAAAGCCGGAUUAAUACCGCAUACGACCUACGGGUGAAAGGGGGGGAUCGCAAGACCUCUCGCUAUUGGAGCGGCCGAUAUCAGAUUAGGUAGUUGGUGGGGUAAAGGCCUACCAAGCCUGCGAUCUGUAGUUGGUCUGAGAGGACGACCAGCCACACUGGGACUGAGACACGGCCCAGACUCCUACGGGAGGCAGCAGUGGGGAAUUUUGGACAAUGGGCGCAAGCCUGAUCCAGCAAUGCCGCGUGCAGGAAGAAGGCCUUCGGGUUGUAAACUGCUUUUGUCAGGGAAGAAAUCCUCUGGGUUAAUACCUCGGGGGGAUGACGGUACCUGAAGAAUAAGCACCGGCUAACUACGUGCCAGCAGCCGCCGCCGUAA
rnacentral:rRNA from 1 species